CUCUAGAAGCCUUACAGAAUCCAUUUACAAGUGCAUUGUAAGAGAUUACAUCCGGAUUUACCCCAUUCUCCACCAUGUCACGGAAAACACUAUGAGCCGUAUCAACCUUUCCAGUCUUGCACAGGUGAUCAACUACUGCAGUAUAGAAUCUACGAUCAAGAAGAACGCCCGCCCUUGUCAUUUCAUCGAGCAGUUUCUUAACUACUUGGAUACUUCCUUCUCUUAGAAAGGCAUUUACUAGAGUCUCAGAAAGAUGCCUGUCAGGUUUUAAGCCUUUCUCCAUCAUCUGAUCCCAAACCCUACAGGCCAGUGAAAGUUCUUUCCCCUUUAUAAGCCCUCCAACUAUCAACUUGAAAGUUACCUCAUCAGGGUACAAACCAUUCCUCUGCAUUUCAUCAUAUAAACGCAUGGCAUCCAUAACUCUAGAAGCCUUACAGAAUCCAUUUACAAGUGCAUUGUAAGAGAUUACAUCCGGAUUUACCCCAUUCUUCACCAUGUCACGGAAAACACUAUGAGCCGUAUCAACCUUUCCAGUCUUGCACAGGUGAUCAACUACUGCAGUAUAGCAUCUAAGAUCAGGAAGAAUGCCCGCCCUUGUCAUUUCACCAAGCAGUUUCUUAACCACUUGGAUACUUCCUUCUCUUAGAAAGGCAUCAAUAAGUAUAUUA
rnacentral:lncRNA from 1 species